UACAGAGGUCUCAAGCGUUGUUCGGAUUCAUUGGGCGUAAAGAGCGUGUAGGCGGCCAGGUAGGUCGGUUGUGAAAACUGGAGGCUCAACCUUCAGACGUCGACCGAAACCAUCUGGCUAGAGUCCGGGAGAGGAGAGUGGAAUUCCUGGUGUAGCGGUGAAAUGCGCAGAUAUCAGGAAGAACACCCGUGGCGAAAGCGGCUCUCUGGAACGGUACUGACGCUGAGACGCGAAAGCGUGGGGAGCGAACAGG
rnacentral:rRNA from 1 species